UGAGUAACACGUGGAUAACCUACCUAUAAGACUGGGAUAACUUCGGGAAACCGGAGCUAAUACCGGAUAAUAUUUUGAACCGCAUGGUUCAAAAGUGAAAGACGGUCUUGCUGUCACUUAUAGAUGGAUUCGCGCUGCAUUAGCUAGUUGGUAAGGUAACGGCUUACCAAGGCAACGAUGCAUAGCCGACCUGAGAGGGUGAUCGGCCACACUGGAACUGAGACACGGUCCAG
rnacentral:rRNA from 1 species